rnacentral:rRNA from 1 species
GACGUAGGGCGCGAGCGUUGUCCGGAUUUAUUGGGCGUAAAGAGCUCGUAGGCGGCUUGUCACGUCGGUCGUGAAAACUUGGGGCUCAACCCCAAGCUUGCGGUCGAUACGGGCAGGCUAGAGUUCGGUAGGGGAGACUGGAAUUCCUGGUGUAGCGGUGAAAUGCGCAGAUAUCAGGAGGAACACCGGUGGCGAAGGCGGGUCUCUGGGCCGAUACUGACGCUGAGGAGCGAAAGCGUGGGGAGCGAACAGG